rnacentral:rRNA from 1 species
GGAUUCCCCUAGUAACUGCGAGUGAAGAGGGAAAAGCUCAAAUUUAAAAUCUGGCAGUGUUUUACUGUCCGAGUUGUAACCUAGAGAAGUGUAACCUGUGCUGGACCAUGUAUAAGUCUCCUGGAAUGGAGCAUCGCAGAGGGUGAGAAUCCCGUCUUUGACAUGGACUACCCAGUGCACUGUGGUUGUGCUCUCAACGAGUCGAGUUGUUUGGGAAUGCAGCUCUAAAUGGGUGGUAAAUUCCAUCUAAAGCUAAAUAUUGGCGAGAGACCGAUAGCGAACAAGUACCGUGAGGGAAAGAUGAAAAGAACUUUGGAAAGAGAGUUAAACAGUAUGUGAAAUUGUUGAAAGGGAAACGCUUGAAGUCAGUGGUGUUGGCCGGGGAUCAACCUAACUUGUUGGGUGUACUUCCUGGUCGAUGGGUCAACAUCAGUUUUGACUGCCAGAAAAAGGUCAAGAGAAUGUGGCACCUUUGGGUGUGUUAUAGCUCUUGGUUGCAUAUGGUGGUUGGGACUGAGGAAAGCAGCGUGCUGAAAANGCCGGGUUUCGACCACGUUCACGCUGAGGAUGUUGGCAUAAUGGCUUUAAGCGACCCGUCUUGAAACACGGACCNAAGGAGUCUAACAUGCGUGCGAGUGUUUGGGUGGAAAACCCUUACGCGUAAUGAAAGUGAAAGUUGAGAUCCUUGUCGUGGGGAGCAUCGACGCCCGGACCAGAACUUUUGGGACGGAUCUGCGGUAGANGCAUGUAUGUUGGGACCCGAAAGAUGGUGAACUAUGCCUGAAUAGGGUGAAGCCAGAGGAAACUCUGGUGGAGGCUCGUAGCGAUUCUGACGUGCAAAUCGAUCGUCAAAUUUGGGUAUAGGGGCGAAAGAC